rnacentral:rRNA from 1 species
AGGCGCGCAAAUUACCCAAUCCCGACACGGGGAGGUAGUGACAAGAAAUACUGAUACAGGGUCCUAUCGGAUCUUGUGAUUGGAAUGAGUACAAUUUAAACCCAUUAACGAGGAACAACUAGAGGGCAAGUCUGGUGCCAGCAGCCGCGGUAAUUCCAGCUCUAGUAGCAUACAUUAAAAUUGUUGCAGUUAAAACGCCCGUAGUUGAAGUUUGGAUUUAAUCGCCCGGUCCGCCUCACUGCGAGAACUGGUUGCGAUCGAGUCUUUCUUCUUGGUAAACUGCAUGCCCUUUGUUGGGUGUGUCGGUGCACCAGGACUUUUACUUUGAAAAAAUUAGAGUGUUCAAAGCAGGCUUUUGCUCGGAUACCUUAGCAUGGAAUAAUAAAAUAUGAUGAGUGGUUGUAUUUGUUGGUUUUCACGACUACCGUAAUGAUUGAUAGGGAUGGUCGGGGGCAUCGGUAUUCGAUCGUCAGAGG